UACGGAGGGUGCGAGCGUUGUUCGGAAUUAUUGGGCGUAAAGCGCGUGUAGGCGGCAUGUCAAGUCCGAUGUGAAAGCCCCGGGCUCAACCUGGGAAGUGCAUUGGAAACUGGCAUACUUGAAUACGGGAGAGGGUAGUGGAAUUCCUAGUGUAGGAGUGAAAUCCGUAGAUAUUAGGAGGAACACCGGUGGCGAAGGCGGCUGCCUGGACCGAUAUUGACGCUGAGACGCGAAAGCGUGGGGAG
rnacentral:rRNA from 1 species